rnacentral:rRNA from 1 species
GUCUAUGGCUAUGUUACCCUGAAGAAGCCUGAUCCCGUCUGAUCUUGGAAGGUAAACAGGGUUGGGCUUGGUUAGUACUUGGAUGGGAGACCACCUAGGAAGACCAGGUGCUGUAGGUG